rnacentral:misc_RNA from 1 species
GGAUGCCUCCAGCUGCAGAACCACUAGAAAAUGAUACUUUAUAAGGUUCAAACUCCUGUCUGCCAACCUGUGCAGGCAAAACUCCAUUGCAUGGACUAGUCAAUGGCAGUGGAGUUCCUCUUCUAGAAACAGAAUGAGAUUUCGCUCCAGAGGUUAUUUCACCCGAAGGUGAUUUCACUGAAGAAGAGGAUGCACCAGGGUCA